GACGAACGCUGGCGGCGUGCCUAAUACAUGCAAGUCGAACGCAGUGGGGACGGGUGGGUAACACGUGGGUAACCUCCCAUCAGAGGGGAUAACACUUGGAAACCGGUGCUAAACCGAUACUGAUGGAUGGACCAGCGGUGCAUUAGCUAGUUGGUGAGGUAACGGCUCACCAAGGCCACGAUGCAUAGCCGAGCUGAGAGGGUGAUCGGCCACACUGGGACGGAGACACGGCCCAGACUCCUACGGGAGGCAGCAGUAGGGAAUCUUCGGCAAUGGGCGAAAGUCUGACCGAGCAACGCCGCGUGAGUGAAGAAGGUUUUCGGAUCGUAAAACUCUGUUAUUAGAGAAGCGGUAUCUAACCAGAAAGCCACGGCUAACUACGUGCCAGCCGCCGCGGUAAUUC
rnacentral:rRNA from 1 species